GACGAACGCUGGCGGCGUGCUUAACACAUGCAAGUCGAGCGGUAAGGCCCUUUCGGGGGUACGACGAGCGGCGAACGGGUGAGUAACACGUGGGUGACCUGCCCUCAGCUCUGGGAUAAGCCUGGGAAACCGGGUCUAAUACUGGAUAUGACUCCAUGACGCAUGUUGUGGGGUGGAAAGCCUUGUGCGGCUGAGGAUGGGCCCGCGGCCUAUCAGCUUGUUGGUGGGGUGAUGGCCUACCAAGGCGACGACGGGUAGCCGGCCUGAGAGGGCGACCGGCCACACUGGGACUGAGACACGGCCCAGACUCCUACGGGAGGGCAGCAGUGGGGAAUCUUGCGCAAUGGGCGAAAGCCUGACGCAGCGACGCCGCGU
rnacentral:rRNA from 1 species